UACGUAGGGUGCGAGCGUUAAUCGGAAUUACUGGGCGUAAAGCGUGCGCAGGCGGUUCGUUAAGUCAGCUGUGAAAGCCCCGGGCUUAACCUGGGAAUGGCGGUUGAAACUGGCGAACUUGAAUCUGGCAGAGGGGGGUGGAAUUCCAGGUGUAGCGGUGAAAUGCGUAGAUAUCUGGAGGAACACCGGUGGCGAAGGCGGCAUCCUGGACCAACACUGACGCUGAGUGAGCGAAAGCCAGGGGAGCAAACGGG
rnacentral:rRNA from 1 species